rnacentral:rRNA from 1 species
UACGUAGGGUGCAAGCGUUAAUCGGAAUUACUGGGCGUAAAGGGCGCGUAGGCGGCGUGACAAGUCACUUGUGAAAUCUCCGGGCUUAACCCGGAGCGGCCAAGUGAUACUGUCGUGCUAGAGUGCGGAAGGGGCUACUGGAAUUCUCGGUGUAGCGGUGAAAUGCGUAGAUAUCGAGAGGAACACCUGCGGCGAAGGCGGGUAGCUGGGCCGAUACUGACGCUGAGGCGCGAAAGCCAGGGGAGCGAACGGG